UACGAAGGGGGCUAGCGUUGCUCGGAAUCACUGGGCGUAAAGCGCACGUAGGCGGAUUGUUAAGUCAGGGGUGAAAUCCUGGAGCUCAACUCCAGAACUGCCUUUGAUACUGGCGAUCUCGAGUCCGGGAGAGGUGAGUGGAACUGCGAGUGUAGAGGUGAAAUUCGUAGAUAUUCGCAAGAACACCAGUGGCGAAGGCGGCGCUCUGGACCGAGACUGACGCUGAGGCGCGAAGGCGUGGGGAGCAAACAGG
rnacentral:rRNA from 1 species